UUAAAAGAAGUUAAAUAAAAUUAAUAUUAACUUUGGGAGUUAAAGAAUGAGGAUACUCACUUUUGGU
rnacentral:tRNA from 1 species